CGCGUUUAGGUUCUGGUGGAACACGUUCACAUCUGUGACGUUAUAUUGGCUGCACCCUAUCUUCACAAAGUUGGUCUGUGGCGGCGUCGUUUCGGAUCCACAGACCCAUCUUCUGAACAACGAGUGUAAUCCGUACUUCAUUUCCAACGUAUUUCUGGACUCCAAUGUCUCCGUCUUCAACCAAAACCUAAACGGAACUCUGCGAGACAUCAGAGAGCAGAUCAGUGUCCAGAACAAGCACUUCGCCACGGCAAAGCAAAGCAAGGGAGGAAACCCUGUUGCUACGCUUUUUCAAUGCAGAAACUAUCUCUCCGUCGCCGACUGUGUCGCUUGCUUCAAUGCGGCUACCGAUCAAAUCCGACGAUGCCCCCCCGGGACCUCCGGUGCCCAUGUCGUCUACGACGGCUGCUUCCUCAGGUUCGAUAUUAAUAGUAAUGUCUUUCAAGAAACAACGCAAACUUUCAACAUCACGUCAUGUGGGAAUCAGACUACUGAAGA